UACGAAGGGGGCUAGCGUUUCUCGGAAUCACUGGGCGUAAAGCGCACGUAGGCGGACUCUUAAGUCGGGGGUGAAAUCCUGGAGCUCAACUCCAGAACUGCCUUCGAUACUGGGAGUCUUGAGUUCGGGAGAGGUGAGUGGAACUGCGAGUGUAGAGGUGAAAUUCGUAGAUAUUCGCAAGAACACCAGUGGCGAAGGCGGCUCACUGGCCCGAUACUGACGCUGAGGUGCGAAAGCGUGGGGAUCAAACAGG
rnacentral:rRNA from 1 species